rnacentral:rRNA from 1 species
UACGAAGGGGGCUAGCGUUGUUCGGAAUUACUGGGCGUAAAGCGUGCGCAGGCGGUGAUGUAAGACAGGUGUGAAAUCCCCGGGCUUAACCUGGGAACUGCAUUUGUGACUGCAUCGCUGGAGUGCGGCAGAGGGGGAUGGAAUUCCGCGUGUAGCAGUGAAAUGCGUAGAUAUGCGGAGGAACACCGAUGGCGAAGGCAAUCCCCUGGGCCUGCACUGACGCUCAUGCAGAAGACGUGGGGAGCAAACAGG